GAUGAACGCUGGCGGCGUGCUUAACACAUGCAAGUCGAGCGGGAAACCUUUUAUUGAAGCUUCGGCAGAUUUAGCUGGUUUCUAGUGGCGGCCGGGUGAGUAACGCGUGGGUAACCUGCCUUAUACAGGGGGAUAACAACCAGAAAUGGUUGCUAAUACCGCAUAAGCGCACAGGACCGCAUGGUCCGGUGGGAAAAACUCCGGUGGUAUAAGAUGGACCCGCGUUGGAUUAGCUAGUUGGCAGGGUAACGGCCUACCAAGGCGACGAUCCAUAGCCGGCCUGAGAGGGUGAACGGCCACAUUGGGACUGAGACACGGACCAGACUCCUACGGGAGGCAGCAGUGGGGAAUAUUGCACAAUGGGGGAAACCCUGAUGCAGCGACGCCGCGUGAAGGAAGAAGUAUCUCGGUAUGUAAACUUCUAUCAGCAGGGAAGAUAGUGACGGUACCUGACUAAGAAGCCCCGGCUAACUACGUG
rnacentral:rRNA from 1 species